rnacentral:rRNA from 1 species
CCUACGUGCGGCAGCAGUGAGGAAUAUUGCGCAAUGGAGGCAACUCUGACGCAGCCAUGCCGCGUGCAGGAAGAAGGCGCUACGCGUUGUAAACUGCUUUUAUCCGGGAAGAAACCCCAGGACGUGUCCUGGGUUGACGGUACCGGAGGAAUAAGCACCGGCUAACUUCGUGCCAGCAGCCGCGGUAAUACGAAGGGUGCAAGCGUUAUCCGGAUUCAUUGGGUUUAAAGGGUGCGUAGGCGGGGCGUUAAGUCAGUGGUGAAAUCCUGCAGCUCAACUGUAGACUUGCCAUUGAUACUGGCGCUCUUGAGUGCGCUUGAAGUGGGCGGAAUGUGCCGUGUAGCGGUGAAAUGCUUAGAUAUGGCACAGAACACCAAUUGCGAAGGCAGCUUACUAAGGCGAUACUGACGCUGAGGCACGAAAGCGUGGGGAUCAAACAGGAUUAGAUACCCUAGUAGUCCCU